UGCGCAGGUGGGUUGGCAAGUUUGAUGUGAAAGCCCCGGGCUUAACCCGGGAAUGGCAUUGAAUACUGCUGAUCUGGAGGAUUGGAGGGGGGACUGGAAUUCUUGGUGUAGCAGUGAAAUGCGUAGAUAUCAAGAGGAACACCAGUGGCGAAGGCGAGUCCCUGGACAAUACCUGACACUGAGGCACGAAAGCCAGGAGCAAACA
rnacentral:rRNA from 1 species